CCGAAAGGCAGGAGUGCCCGCAAGGGAGCGCGGAGACAGGUGGUGCAUGGCUGUCGUCAGCUCGUGUCGUGAGAUGUUGGGUUAAGUCCCGCAACGAGCGCAACCCUCACCCCUUGUUGCUACCAGGUAAAGCUGGGCACUCUAGGGGAACUGCCCCGGUCAACGGGGAGGAAGGCGGGGAUGACGUCAAGUCAUCAUGCCCCUUACGUCCUGGGCUACACACGUGCUACAAUGGCCGGUACAAAGGGAUGCCACACCGUGAGGUAGAGCUAAACCCAAAAAGCCGGUCUAAGUUCAGAUUGGAGUCUGCAACUCGACUCCAUGAAGGAGGAAUCGCUAGUAGUCGCGUAUCAGCACGACGCGGUGAAUACGUUCCCGGGCCUUGUACACACCGCCCGUCACACCACGAAAGCCAG
rnacentral:rRNA from 1 species